rnacentral:pre_miRNA from 1 species
UCUCCUUGAGGGGUCUCUGCCUCUACCCAGGACUCUUUCAUGACCAGGAGACUGAGGCCCCUCACAGGCGGC